CCUAUGGAGUGAUACAUCAAACUAAAGUAGCUUAUGUUUAUCAUAGCAAAAUAGGUCACGUUGAAAUAGGAA
rnacentral:sRNA from 12 species